AUUUAUUUGCGCACCCAUUUGGCCGCCAAAUUCUACGAUUUCGAUCGAAUCCUGCCUCGGUUCGUCCUCUGGAUCUGCGAACCGACGCCGGAAUCUGCUCUCACGAUCGGUACAGUUACUGCGCAUUUUCUUGCCGACGUUGGGUUCUAGGGUUAGGGUUUGCUCGUCUCCUGCUAGCCUUGGCUCCUUGCCGGCUCUCUGAAUUUCAGGUCAUACAUAUUUCUCAAGCAUAACAAGCAGCCUUUGGUUGAUGUUAGGACCAGCCAACAUGUUAUUGAGCAAGUCAGACAACUGGAGUGUGAUAGUCACCUGGCAUCAGUUGCUAAGGUUCUUCCAUCUAAGGAUGGACUGCUGAAAAUCUUGAACAGCAACAGAGAUAUAAAAAUUGUGAGCACUCUUGCUAUGGAUACUAAGUUACUUAGUGUACAUGGUAGGACUUCUUUAUUACCUGGGAUGGGCAACAUCUCUGAAGGGAUUUUUCCAGGGCAAAGCAAACGGUGUUUUUGUGAUGAUGAAGCUUACUUAUUUACAUGCCAGCAUCCAGAGCAAGUGGACCAGAAUGUGCAUUUGAAUCCAUACGCAGAAACUGAGUUUACAGCCUCUCUGCCACCAGCUUCAGCUAGUUUCAUUACAUCUGUGACUUCAUCUUUUGAUCUUGUAACAUUUUAAGAUUUUGAUGGGAGAGAGUGAAGGCUUAUAAGUGAUUCGAUGACUUAGCCUUAGUUGUUGCCAAUCACGAUUUGAAGAAAACUGAGGCUGCUGUUCAUGUGGAUGUUUCUGACAAGGUACUGGUAGCAGCCAGCUUACAUAUGAUUGUAGUGAUGAAGAAACUGUUUUGGAAUCACCUGAUGGGGUUGAUUUUGUUUCUAGUUAUUUGAAAAUUGCCGUCAAGCAGAUAAGUUUUUAUCACCUUCUUUUGAUUACUUUCCUCGAAAACCUUUUGUUAUUGUAGUGAAUCAUCGAGCUGAUGUUCUGGAGUCAUGUUCACAUAGUUGCAAGAAAAUUGAGGAAUCUAGUCAUUAUGCUUCUCCAGUGGUAAAUUCAAGCGGUUGCCAUUUAGUGAAUAAAGAUGACAGAGAACAGUAGAUAGGGUCUUGUGUCAUUCCAAUGCCUGAUUCUUGUUUGUUGGAAUCAGAAAAUACAGUUGUACUUACACAAAACUGACUGUAGCUGCUUGGAUGAGGGUUCAGUUAGAUGCAUAAGACAGCAUAUGAAGGUUGCACGAAAAAAGCUUGAGAAAUUUUGGGGACAGGAUAAAAUUGAUAUAGGGGUUUAUGUGACAUGGGAGAGGAUGUAGCCCAUAAGUGGACCACAGAGGAGCAUUUGUUCCUAGAAGUUGUCCUAUCAAAUCCUGCAUCAUUGGGUAAGAACUUAUGGGUUGUAUUGCCUUUAUUUUUCCUGCUCAAAGUAAAAACGAGUUAGUCAGUUACUGCUUCAAUGUAUUCAUGCUACGGAAGAGAGCUGAACAGAACUGGUUAGAUCCACUGAAUGCUGAUAGUGAUGAUGACAAAUGGAAAGGAAGUGAUGAUAAUGAGUUUGCAGCCGAAGAGGAAAUUGAAUAAGAUUCUGUUGUAGAGACACUUCCAGAUGAAGAUGCUGUUACUUUUAACAAAGUUGAGCAUGAGGAUGAUGAGAUGAAUGAAGAUGAUGAGGAUGGAGAGGAGCAUGACGACUAUGCCGCCAUUGCUGGGGAGAAUGAUGCAGGUUUCUCUGUUGGUACUAAAGGCUACAAUAUUGAUAGGCCAAACUUUCUGCUUCCCAUGGAACACAUAGACGAGCAUUUGCAGACUUCUAUGGUGGAGCUAGAUGUUCAAGAUGAAUCAUGCACAUCCUAUGAGCGCCUGCAUGGUGCAGGUUCCUGUGGUCUUGCUAACAUUGUGGUUGCCAGCACGGUCUGACCAAGGGACUCUAUGAGAUCUUGCCUAGGGAGCACAAAAAUGAUGGUUCAAGUGAUUCGUUGAAUCGGGUGCUCUCCGAUGACCAAUGGCGCAUGAGAUCAUGGGAAAUCAGUUUUACAUGUGGAGCAGGAAAAGAUGAUGGAUAUCGUGUCGCGUAUCACCAAUAAUCAGGACUUUGGCGUGGAGGUUCAUCAGAAUGACAAAAUCGACAGUCAUGAUUUUGACAUGCCCUUGUAGUUGCAUCUAGCAAGGUUUUCCCUUGUCGCAUUCAUUGCACCCUCAACUAGAUAUCUUGAAUUAUCUGAAGCUGUGCUCUGUUAAAUCAUGCUGGUGGGUAUUAGUCUUUCCAAUUUUCCCUUUGUGCAUUAUCGAAGGUCAGCAGCUUUGCUUCUUGUAAAGUUAGAAUUUGGAAGUGAGGUUGCUCAUGGUUCCAUGGGGUACUAAAAGCGGCUCACAUGGACUGCUUCCACUACAAGUUGUACAAUCCUUGUAGCUUGGCCCUCUCCUUCAGAACUGUUAUCGAGGGAAACAUGUAUUGGUAGAUCCAACAAAAUAAAGCACUUGAUAUGAUAUGACAUCUAUCUUUUGUCGAGGUCUGUUCUCUAUCCUUGUUUCAUCUCAUUAUGAAAUCUCUGGCUUUCUAUUCAUGCAUGUUUGUUAGCUAUACUAUUCACAGGAUUUUAGAGGAAAAAUAUUUUGUUGGAGAAUAUUACCUAUUGCUUCCCAAUUGUGCUUAUGUUGUAGAAGAAUAUCAUCAAAACAAUUUUCUUUUUUUUUUCUCUUUCUUUUUUGACACAUCAUUAGGCCCUUUUCUUGCUAUUUAAUUCCUGAGAGCAGAAGGCCAGGAAUGAAUGGGCUUGACAUAUAGCCUACCUGUUCUUCCAUCAAACAAGAGGAGGAGCCAACUGAUCAUAUUCUCACUACAAAAUUUGAAGUUGGAAUGAUCAUAUUUCCCAAUGUUGACCCGAACAAUGGUGGAGAUAAAGGUCAAACUAAAGAGCUGCAAAGACAAUCGAAACCUAAAAGCACCCUCCAAAAUCUGGAGAAUUUUAUAUGAAGGCAAUUGUUGAUUCUUCUCUGUUCAUUAGUCUUCAAGCUCCCAGAUUCCACAUUAGUUCAUAGAAAUCUGAAAUCAUAGUGCAUAUUGGUCCCACUGGUUACUAGUGAGAUCCUCAAGACAUUUAUAGAGGUGAAGUGAGUUCUACACCCUCUAUUCUGCUUCUUUAGCCUUACGCUCAUUGCAUAUGGCUUUUCUAAUUUCAAAUUGGCAAAGGUCUCUAAGAUUGUAGCCCUCUAAAUCCUUGAUUUCACAUCCAAUAAUCACCUUUAGUGCCCUUGAGAGAAUCAAAUCAUUUUUUUUUCUUUCAAUUGUCACCUUGUUUUCGGAAUUAAAAAUUCUCUUCGAGUUGCUUGAUCAUUUGAAGGAUUAUUUAAUAAUGAAUGGUAUCACUAUCUAAAUCAACAAUGUAGCGAUAGGAUUGUUUUUGAUAUCAUGCAUGUUUUAAAUGGGUGAAACACAUGGCCUUUAAGUUGUGUGGUAAACUAAAUUUACUGCAAUAUCCAAAGUUCCAAGUACUGCUUGACAGAUACUCAAAUUGGUGAUCUUUUUCUAUCUGUAAGUUGCAGAGAAUAUACAGUGUUAGCUACAGAAUGCACACACCAAAAUGGUCUGUAGGGUUUCUCAUUUUAACAGGGAUGGCAUAAGUUCUUAUCUCUUGCCUUACAUCAAAAAGGAUGAACUACUUUUACCAUGUUUCCUGUCAUGUUUUCAUCAAAGAUACACCAAGUUUUUCAUACAACUGCUAAGUUAAUACUGCAAGUAUAGAUGGUGGUCCAUCUGUGCAUUUUUGCAAAAGGCCUUUUGUCACAGGUAUCAUCUGUUCUUCUUGACCGUGUCUCCAGUUGCAGGAAGCUGGUGUAAUAGCCUUUUCUACACCUAGCCCCAGGUUUUCCAAACAAUAAGGUUGCUGGCCAUGUUGAUCCUGUGGUCUACACCAACAGUCUCUUGCCUUGGAUUUUAAAAGCCUACAGGGUGGGUCUCCUUCCCUCCACCUUCUAACUCGGAGUUGUUCCCCCCUGAGCUCUUUAGAAACGAGCCAUGGAGAGUCAUCCUUCUUUCAGCAUUGCCGCCGCUGCCACCCCAACGCCUCGGCCUGUCCUCAUCGCGGUUCUCGUCCUGGCGACGUUCCAGAUUGCAAUUGCCAUGGUGCACGAAGCUGAAUUGGCACGAUUCUGCAGCCAUUACCGGCACCAGCAUGAAGAGAGCUCCACCUCCUCGCCACACCACAUGCCUUCCUGGUGCUCCCAGAUCUUGCAAAGUCUGCUUCCGCCGCCACCGCCCGAUGAAGUUGAUCCAAGGUACGGGGUGGAGAAGCGGCUCGUGCCGACGGGGCCCAACCCUCUGCACAACUGAACUGAUUAGUGUUUCAUCAUCAUCAGAAGUAUGUGGUCUCCCAGCCUGUGUUCUGGUCAUCUCAAUCUCUCCUAUAUAUUGUAUUGUUUGGCUACAACUUACUCCUCUUCUCUACCUUCUUCUCAUUUCCCUGAAGCUUUUUUUGAGGGGAACUUGAGGCUGUAUUGAGUGAGGCUUGGUGUGAGCUCUCUUGUUCAGAGAAGAGCUGUUUAAUGAUAUGUUUAAUGGAGUUUUGAGACUUACAGUGGAGGAUAUGUUGGAAUCCUAAUGUUCUACUUUGCUA